rnacentral:tRNA from 1 species
GAAAUAUCUAAAAUUAAGCUUCUAACUUAAUAAAAAGUGAAAAUAAUCAUUUAUAUUUCU